AUCAGGUAGAGAGACUCAUUCAGACCUGGGGACAUCAGGUAGAGAGACUCAUUCAGACCUGGGGACAUCAGGUAGAGAGACUCAUUCAGACCUUGGGACAUCAGGUAGAGAGACUCAUUCAGACCUGGGGACAUCAGGUAGAGAGACUCAUUCAGACCUGGGGACAUCAGGUAGAGAGACUCAUUCAGACCUGGGGACAUCAGGUAGAGAGACUCAUUCAGACCUGGGGACAUCAGGUAGGAAGAGAAAGCAGAAAUGUUUUGGCCCUCAGGACCUGAAUAAUACUUUGACAUUGAAACACAACAGCUAUACAUAACUAGGUGAAAGCAGACCUGAUGCAACACACACACACAAUAAAACACACACACACACACACACACACACACACACACAAUCAGCACACGCACACACAAUCAGCACACGCACACACACGCACACACACACACAAUAAGCACACACACACACACACACACACACAAUAAACACACACACAAUAAGCACACGCACACGCACACACACAAUAAGCACACUGUGGUAAGACUGUUUUGGGUUGCAUUUUGUCUGCAUUUAGCCAAUCUGUAACAAUCAGAAGAAUAAAAUACACAUCCAAACAUCUUGACCUUUCAACAAACAGCAAGAUGGAAAUGAACCUUGUGAAGGAAACAGCAACAUAAAGUGUUUUAAUAGGAGGUAACUGGCAGAAUAAAGGAAACUCCAACAGUGUUUUAAUAGGAGGUCGGGUCGUCCACCAGGUAACUGGCAGAAUAAAGGAAACUCCAGGUCCUCCACCAACCACCAGGUAACUGGGAGAAUAAAGGAAACUCCAACAGUGUUUUAAUAGGACGUCGGGUCGUCCACCAGGUAACUGGCAGAAUAAAGGAAACUCCAGGUCCUCCACCAGGUAACUGGCAGAAUAAAGGAAACUCCAACAGUGUUUUAAUAAGAGGUCGGGUCGUCCACCAGGUAACUGGCAGAAUAAAGGAAACUCCAACAUAGUGUUUUAAUAGGAGGUCGGGUCGUCCACCAGGUAACUGGCAG
rnacentral:lncRNA from 1 species